rnacentral:rRNA from 1 species
AUUGCAGGCGUGCAACUCGCCUGCAUGAAGUCGGAAUUGCUAGUAAUCGUAGGUCAGCAUACUACGGUGAAUACGUUCCCGGGCCUUGUACACACCGCCCGUCAAACCAUGAGAGUUGGCAACACCCGAAGUCGGUAGUCUAACCGCAAGGAGGACGCCGCCGAAGGUGGGGUUGAUGAUUAGGGUUAAGUCGUAACAAGGUACC